rnacentral:rRNA from 1 species
UUAAGAUCCUAAAAUUCAAAGAAUUUGGCGGUAGUUAAGUCUUUUUAGAGGAACCUGUUCUGUAAUUGAUAAUCCACGAUUGAUUUUACUUUAUUUUAAUUUGUAUAUCUCUGUCAAUGAAUGUAUUAAUAGAUUUAUUUUCUUUAUUUUUUGUAAAUUGAUGUUAGGUCAAGGUGCAGUUUUAUUAAAGUAGAAAUGGGUUACAAUAAUAAUUUAUUGGAUUUUUGUUUGGAAAAAUAAAUUUAAAUUGGAUUUAAAAGUAAUUUUGUUUAGUAUAAAUGAUAUGAUUUUGGCUCUUAAUUAU